AUUGAACGCUGGCGGCAGGCCUAACACAUGCAAGUCGAGCGGAUGAAGGGAGCUUGCUCCUGGAUUCAGCGGCGGACGGGUGAGUAAUGCCUAGGAAUCUGCCUGGUAGUGGGGGAUAACGUCCGGAAACGGGCGCUAAUACCGCAUACGUCCUGAGGGAGAAAGUGGGGGAUCUUCGGACCUCACGCUAUCAGAUGAGCCUAGGUCGGAUUAGCUAGUUGGUGGGGUAAAGGCCUACCAAGGCGACGAUCCGUAACUGGUCUGAGAGGAUGAUCAGUCACACUGGAACUGAGACACGGUCCAGACUCCUACGGGAGGCAGCAGUGGGGAAUAUUGGACAAAGGGCGAAAGCCUGAUCCAGCCAUGCCGCGUGUGUGAAGAAGGUCUUCGGAUUGUAAAGCACUUUAAGUUGGGAGGAAGGGCAGUAAGUUAAUACCUUGCUGUUUUGACGUUACCAACAGAAUAAGCACCGGUUAACUUCGUG
rnacentral:rRNA from 1 species